rnacentral:tRNA from 2 species
AGUUAAAUAACUUAGGGAAAGUAUAUGUUUUGAAAAUAUAAUAAAGAAGUUCGACUCUUCUUUUAACUU